rnacentral:rRNA from 1 species
CCGAAUCCUGACACAGGGAGGUAGUGACAAGAAAUAACAAUACAGGGCUACUUCUAGUCUUGUAAUUGGAAUGAGUACAACUUACAUCUCUUCACGAGGAUCAAUUGGAGGGCAAGUCUGGUGCCAGCAGCCGCGGUAAUUCCAGCCUCCAAUAGCGUAUAUUAAAGUUGUUGCAGUUAAAAAGCUCGUAGUCGGAUUUCGGGUCGGGCCGAGCGGUCUGCCGAUGGGUAUGCACUGUUUGGCGCGGCCUUCUUUCCGGAGACCGCGGCUACUCUUAACUGAGCGGGCGUGGGAGACGGAUCGUUUACUUGAAAAAAUCAGAGUGUUUCAAGCAGGCAGCUCGCUCUUGCAUGGAUUAGCAUGGGAUAAUUGAAUAGGACUUCUGGUGCUAUUUUGUUGGUUUCGAACACCGGAUAAUGAUUAACAGGGACAGUCAGG